GACGAACGCUGGCGGCGUGCCUAAUACAUGCAAGUCGAACGCAGUGGGGACGGGUGAGUAACACGUGGGUAACCUCCCAUCAGAGGGGAUAACACUUGGAAACAGGUGCUAAACCGAUAGGAUGAGCCCAAGUGGGAUUAGGUAGUGGGUGGGGUAAUGGCCUACCAAGCCGACGAUCCCUAGCUGGUCUGAGUGGAUGACCAGCCACACCGGGACUGAGACACGGCCCAGACUCCUACGGGAGGCAGCAGUAGGGAAUCUUCGGCAAUGGACGGAAGUCUGACCGAGCAACGCCGCGUGAGUGAAGAAGGUUUUCGGAUCGUAAAACUCUGUUGUUAGAGAAGCGGUAUCUAACCAGAAAGCCACGGCUAACUACGUGCCAGCCGCCGCGGUAAUUC
rnacentral:rRNA from 1 species